GCACCCGCGGUAAUUCCAGCUCCAAUAGCGUAUAUUAAUGCUGCUGCUGUUAAAAAGCUCGUAGUUGGAUCAAGAGUACAACCGUGAAGGUUGGCCCAGUUUGUCAUCGUGGCCUCGGUUGCGGUGGCGGCUCGGGAGUAACCGCCUUCACCAAGCGGUUGUCUCUAAUAGGUGGAAACGGCUCCCGGUGAGUAGGUCCCUUCAUUGGGAUUGAAAGCGCAUACGCGUUAACCAUACGCAUUCGGGACGUCCACCAUUGUUACAUUGAACAAACCAGCGUGUCCAAAGCAGGUUCCGCCUGCAUGUUCGAGCAUGGAAUAACAAGGGAUCGAUUCUCUCGGUUCUUUUUGUUGGUUUUUAACCCGAGAAGGAGUAAUUCAGGCCACGGUGUCUGAGUUGGGUUUCCCGAGGCUUCGGCUGAGGCCCCAAUUAGGCCGUGUCCUUACGGGAUCAAUAGGGACUGCCGGGGUCGUACGUACUCCCACGUCAGAGGUGAAAUUCUUAGAUCGUGGGAAGACGAACUUCUGCGAAAGCAUUCGACAAGAAUGUCUUCAUUAAUCAAGAACGAGAGUGUGGGGAUCGAAGAUGAUCAGAUACCGUCGUAGUCCACUACUGUAAACGAUGCCGUCUCAGGAUCGAGAGGGCUCCUACAUGACCCUCACGGCACUAACCCCUGAAACGAGAAAUCAAAGAUUAUGGGUUCAGGGGGGAGUACAUUCGCAAGGCUGAAACUUAAAGGAAUUGACGGAAUGACACCACCAGGCGUGGCCAGGCGUGGAGUAUGCGGCUUAAUUUGACUCAACACGGGGAAUUUUACCAGGUCAGGACAAAGUGAGGAUUGACAGAUUGAGAGCUCUUUCUUGAUCCUUUGGAUGGUGGUGCAUGGCCGUUCCUGGUUGGUGGAGUGAUUUGUCUGGUUGAUUCCGUUAACGAACGAGAUCUCCGCCCUUAAAUAGGUGACAGUCUCGAAUGUAACGUAACCGAGUUGAAGGUUUCGGCCCGAUUCUUGGUGAGAGUGCUGUUGAACUUCUUAGGGGGACUGCGUACGUCUCUAGUACGCGGAAGAGGGAGCCAAUAGCAGGUCUGUGAUGCUCCUAAAUGUUCUGGGCCGCACGCGCACUACACUGAUACGGUAAGCUAGCUGCAGUCGAUUCGACUCCUUCUCAGAAAUGAGCGGGAAAUCCUUUUGAACUGCAUCGUGAUGAG
rnacentral:rRNA from 1 species